ACUUUUUUAGUAUAAAUAGUAUAUUUGGCUUCCAACCAGAAGGAUCAGCUAUGAAAAAGGUA
rnacentral:tRNA from 1 species